rnacentral:piRNA from 1 species
UACCAUAUUGUUUGCUGCGGAAGGG